CUUAUUGGCGUUCUCAUUCAUUUGCGAA
rnacentral:piRNA from 1 species